rnacentral:rRNA from 1 species
UGGGGAAUCUUGCGCAAUGGGCGAAAGCCUGACGCAGCGACGCCGCGUGGAGGAUGAAGGUCUUAGGAUUGUAAACUUCUGUUAAGUGGGAAGAAAUAGGCCUUGUGAAUAUCAAGGCAAGAUGACUGUACCAUUAGAGAAAGCACCGGCUAACUUCGUGCCAGCAGCCGCGGUAAUACGAAGGGUGCGAGCGUUAUUCGGAUUGAUUGGGUGUAAAGGGUGCGCAGACGGUAUACUAAGUCAACUGUUAAAUUCCUUGGCUUAACUGAGGGUCAGCAGUAGAUACUGGUGUACUAGAGAGUGGAAGAGAGAAGUGGAAUUCUCGGAGUAGCGGUAAAAUGCGUAGAUCUCGAGAGGAACACCGAUGGCGAAGGCAGCUUCUUGGUCCAUUUCUGACGUUCAUGCACGAAAGCGUGGGGAGCAAACAGG